CCAUUUUAGGCGAGUGCUCUAGUACAGUAGAGGCCCCCAACGGCAAUAUUCUCCCAGCCCACUUUGAUCUUUUUUGGAGCCACUGCUGCAGCCAACAAGUUGGUGCUGGUUCUCCGUUUUCUGAGUCUAUAUGGCUGAGACUGGGGAUGGAAGUCGUUUGCCAUCACCCCUUGAUGUGCUGAGUUCAGAUGUUCACUCCAGGCUGGAGUUCCACAAGUAUGCCUACAUUGACUGUGUUGGCAUAAAAAAAUGUGCUUGAUUGUGUCAUCGAAAAAAAGGUAAAGCUCCAGCAAGAACAGAAUGGUAAGUACUGUUUUGUGUCCUUCACACUAAUAAUUCUGAUUAGGUCAUAAAUGUGUCAUCUUUAUUUAUUACUUCAUAAGAAUGUCAGAGACAUAAUUUAAAAUUGUUAGUUCCUAAGAAGAUCAUGCCACCGAAGAUGAAUUAUGGUGGCAUAACAAAAUAGGAUAAUCUGAAAAGCAAGAUU